rnacentral:misc_RNA from 1 species
UACGUAGGUGGCAAGCGUUAUCCGGAAUUAUUGGGCGUAAAGCGCUCGCAGGCGGUCUUUUAAGUCUGAUGUGAAAGCCCACGGCUCAACCGUGGAGGGCCAUUGGAAACUGGGAGACUUGAGUGCAGAAGAGGAGAGUGGAAUUCCACGUGUAGCGGUGAAAUGCGUAGAUAUGUGGAGGAACACCAGUUGCGAAGGCGGCUUUCUGGUCUGUAACUGACGCCGAGGCGCGAAAGCGUGGGGAGCAAACAGG